CUCGGAGUUUGAUCCUGGCUCAGAUUGAACGCUGGCGGAAUGCUUUACACAUGCAAAUCGAACGGUAGAGGGGGCAACCCCUUGAGAGUGGCGAACGGGUGAGUAAUAUAUCGGAACGUGCCCAGUCGUGGGGGAUAACGUAGUGAAAAUUACGCUAAUACCGCAUACGAUCUAAGGAUGAAAGCGGGGAUCGCAAGACCUCGCGCGAUUGGAGCGGCCGAUAUCAGAUUAGGUAGUUGGUGGGGUAAAGGCUCACCAAGCCAACGAUCUGUAGCUGGUCUGAGAGGACGACCAGCCACACUGGAACUGAGACACGGUCCAGACUCCGUACGGGAGGCAGCAG
rnacentral:rRNA from 1 species